AGGAACCAAAGUUGUGUGCUAAAAACACACCACAAAAAGAAAACUUCUGUUAGUAUUUGUAGUGGAAAUGCUAAGUCACAGCUUGAGACAGUGAUUGAGCACCUGGUAGGAAAGCAAGGUCAACCCAGGGAUGCUCAGGUGUAUGCACCUGAGUGACCAGGAGUGAAACCAAAAUCCACCCCUUCCCAGACCUCAUUUUAGGGUUGGCAGUGGAGGCAAGGGUAUCUCUCUGGAGAUACCUGUGUACCUGAGGUCUUCUGAAGUUUAGUAGCUUUUUUCCCUUAAUUCUGUGUCUACUGUUGUCACGUUUGAGUGAAUCCUCACUUGCUGCUGUCUGGGAUCUUGCUGCUCUGCUGUCAUUGUUGCACUUUCCAUUGUGUAAUACUAUUACAUUUCUGAUAUUGCUCAAUUGUACGUAGGCACACAACACUUUUAAAAUUAUUUAAUUUAUAUUCAAGCAACAAUGUUGAUCAGCAACUCAAAUUAUACAUUAAAAUAAUUUAAAUAUCCCAUAAGUUUCAAAAGAGCUGGAGUGGUUGGAUGUGAUUCAGAAUCGUGCUAUUAUCUAGUAAUUGCACUUUAGUUUGUCAAGAGUACCACCUUGAGCUGCUGUUGCCAAUUUCUAUUCUUCUCAGAGUGGCUUCUCUCUGAAAGGUGUUCAGCCCACCCCACUCUUCCUUUAAGAGGGAAACAUGUGGGACGACUUAAUGCACAUAAACCUUCAGCUGGGUGUGAUAAAAGCAUAUGACAUUGCCAAAUCAUUGUUCAGUGAAGCACUUAACUUUGCCAUCAAGACAGGUGAUCUUCCUGUGGUUGGCAGUCUCCUAUUCCAAACAUUACUAACCUCUUGUAAGAGGUUCUUGUAGGAAUCCUCUGUCACAGCCACUUUGUCUCGUCGGCCCAGAAGCAGCAUGGUAGGCAGUGAGUAUUAAAGGACAAAGCUGUAAGGGGAAGCAAGGAGACUUGCUUGUAUGAAUGGAUGGUUUUUGUGCAUGCACUGGUGGUUUGAUUUCUGUUGGUGUAUAUAUUGGUGUUGGCCUACUAAAGUCCUUGGGUCUCAAAAAAUGGAAUGUUCUAAUUCUUGGUUCAUAUUUCUGUGCAAAGACACCUUUGGUGAGUAUCUGAUUGACUGGCCCAUGUUGAGCUAUCUGGUGUUAUUUGUAUCAUAUUAUUGACUUUGAGGUUGAGUGUAUCUGCACAACUUGCAAGCAUAGCCAUACCUCAUGAGAGGUCUUCCAAGGUCCAGAGACAAACAACUUUGAAUAGAAAUUCUUAUAGAAAUGCAGGUGGAAUCA
rnacentral:lncRNA from 1 species